UACAGAGGUCCCAAGCGUUGUUCGGAUUCAUUGGGCGUAAAGGGUGCGUAGGCGGCGCGGUAAGUCGGGUGUGAAAUCUCGGGGCUUAACUCCGAAACUGCAUUCGAUACUGCCGUGCUUGAGGGACUGGAGAGGAGACUGGAAUUUACGGUGUAGCGGUGAAAUGCGUAGAUAUCGUAAGGAAGACCAGUGGCGAAGGCGGGUCUCUGGACAGUUCCUGACGCUGAGGCACGAAGGCCAGGGGAGCAAACGGG
rnacentral:rRNA from 1 species